CGGGGGCAGGACCCGGAAGGAGCGGCCGAGAGCCGGCGCGGGGGACAGCGGGGACCCGGGGCGAAGGGACAGAGCCGAGGUGGGGGGCGGCGCGGAGGCCGGGGACGCACCGGAUGCGGCGAGAGGCCCGCCUGCUGCAGAGGUGUCAUGGGGCAGGGACAGGGGCAGAGGCGACAAGACACCCUGGGAGUCGCGUCGCAGGGGAAGGGAAGGACAGCAGAGAGGAAUGGAGAAACUCCCCAAGGGAGGCGAACGGAAAGUGGGGAGAAUUGAAGGGAACUGGGGGGCGGGAUAGAGAUUUAAAGGGCCAGAGAAUGACAUGCACCUUGAAAGGGAACUUCACGUCGGGGGAGGGCGAAAAGGAAAGAGAGGGGACCAGCUGGGCUCAAGAUGAAGGUGUCCCUUUCUUCCCUCUGGCUUGUGCCUCUCCUGGAGUGUGAGAUGGAGAACCAGUUUAAAACAGGUAAGUUAACCCAGCUUGACACAUGGAGAUAGCAGGUAAGGUAAGCAGGUUCCAGUGUUCAGGUGCAGAUCCUAAUCUUGCAGGGCCCUGGAAGGCUACCCAGAGGCAGAUUUCUUACAAAUCUAAGAGGCGAGGGCUGCCGGGUUGCCCUCCUAGAGAGCUUAACUUUUCCGAAGGUUUGGGGAUCUGGAUGAGCCAUCCCUUAAGUGUAACAGUUUACACCUUUAAGCUUCCAGUUGCCAUGGCCGGAUCCUGGUAGUGGCAUCCCGCAACUCAUUCUAGAUUUGGGGGAGUCUUGUUGUAUGAUCUGCAGUGCUACGCUUGGCUCUGGCACUGUACCUGGUCAUGCCUGAGCUAAUUCAGAGCCACCGAUCUAGCCUGGAUUUCUGAUUAUAUAGUAGUAAGCAUUUUUCUCCUUAGGGAAUUAUUUGGUUAGAUGCAUGAUUAACAUUUGAUACCAGGCCUGUGUCUCUACUUUUAAUAAAUUUAUCAAGGGAUUUAUUUUGACUUUUUUAGUAUUAUUUUAAUACCUUCAUUUGUUGGUUUGGUUUGUUUUUUAACAAGGAGCGUUUUCCUUGUUUCUUCUUACCCCUUUAGGAGCCAAGCAAGGAGGGAGCAGUAUUGUUCUUACGUGACAGAUGGGAGAACAGAAGCAAAGAGAGGUUUAGUAACUUACCCAAUGCCAUAUGGGGUUGCUGUUUUCAGCAUUUGUUGUUUGGUAUUAGUUCUGACCAUGGCAGACCAGAAAUGAAGAUCCGGGGCUCCUAAGAUACAGUUUAGGAUGAUUUCUCUAUUCGGUUUUUACCUCCUCUGCCAAACUUCUGUGUUGUGAGCAACCUCACUUGUGUGUUGUGAGGAUGGACUUGACUUUGGUCUAAGGAAAAGCCACUAUGGCUCUUGGGACAAUGAUUCCAAGCAAGAAUGUGUCAGAAGUUGAGAUGGAAACUCAAAUGAAGCAAAAAGAGACUUGAGACUGGGACAAAGUACUCUGAGGGGAGCAGGAGCAAAAAAUAGGAAUAUUUAUAGCAUAAAGUAGAAAGAGAGCAGAUUCCUGCAGAUCCUGCUGUUAAAAGGAAAAUCUGAUUAUGGAGUCUGGAGAGAAGUAAAGGGAAGCAGGGCAAUAAAGUUGAUUGUGUAUCAGAGUCUAGGUCGUAAGAUGAAAAUGUUAGGGAGCAGUGUUACUUCAUUCCCAUGGUUAGCUGUGAUGGGAUGAAAGAUAAAACAUGGAAUAAAUGAGAAGUGCUGACAUCAUUAUCGUGAUUUUAUAGAUCUUGAUUUAGAGUCUCCCAUAAAUAACAUUUCCCUGCUAUAAUGAAUAUCCCUCAAUCAGGCCAGAAGGAGGGCCAAGGGAUCUGGGACACACUAAAAACCUGGUUUCUUUUGCUGGAAAAGUUAACUCCUUAAAUAUCGGUGCACAAUUUGUGGAACUUUACCGCUUUCCCCUGUGGUCAUUAUUGUUGAUUUCAUUAAUGAAAAAUCAAACACCCGUGAUCUGGGCAGACCCUGCGUGGAGGUAACUAUGGCCUAAAGAUUGAUUAGUUUGUUAGAGAAGUAUCCUGAGAGACCUGGCUGUCUCUGGGAUAUGUGUACCUCAAACUGGGGGCUUAGCUCCUUAGGAACUUAAGUUCCCUUGGGACUAAGUAGGAGGAAUCCUGUUUUAGUUUCACAAGAUCUAGAGAGGACAUUUUUGCCUAGUGCUUUGGUAAAGCAUCAUGAGAAUCACUCGGAGUGAUUCUCAAGGUGGUAGACUUUAGGGAACACAUUUUGGUGGUUGGGAAAUAAGGAGCUAGGCCAACCCUUUGUUAGCAGGAGGUGAGAGGAGAGUGAAGGAUCCAGAGGCUGCGCCACUCAAUGAAGCUGAACUGAAGGCAUGUUGAGCUUAUAAAGAGAGAAUAUCAGAAGAAACUCUGCAAGAAAGCUGGAGUUCCCCCGGCUGUGCCUGUCUGCCUGGGUUCUGGUGGUGCUUCUCUUUUGCUAAUUGGAGUUCUAAUUAGCAUGGACUAGGGCAAGGCAUAUAGAGCUUUUAAAGGGGUCCUAAAGUAUUACCUGUGUCCUCUGAUGGACUGUGGAAAGGGCUGGGAUCUGGCCGGUGGGUCUUAGGCAGAGUGUGUGAGUUGGGGCCUGCUUAUUGCUGGCUGCAGAGUGAGGAGGGAGCUCACACAGUCCAGCCGGCAGAGGAGAGGCAUGGCUCCACGGUGACACAUCCACCGGUUAAUAUCUUAAAUCUGCAUGGUUGAUUGCCCAUAGGUUAGGAUUUUGUGGUGCUUGGAAGUAAAAAUUGUGGUAGGCCAAGAGCCUGCACAUUCACUGAGUCGGUCAGUCAACAAAUAUUUACUGAGUGCCUGUCAAGCCCCAGACACUGUUUUAGGCAGUGGAGAUCAGGCAGUGUACAAAUCAACAAAGUACCCAUCUUCAUGUAGCUUAUGUCCUAGUGGAGGCCACGGACUCGAAAUAAAUCAUUAAAUAUAUAACUGCAGGUAGUGAUAAGUGCUAUGAAGUGAAAUAAAGCUCAGCAUGGCCUAGAGAGUGAUGGGAAUUCAUAUUGAGGUGUGAUGAUGAAAAGAGAAGAAAUACUCUUUGUUAAAGUGAAGAGGAUAUUGAGGGGGAAGAAUUGAAGUACCAUAGCCAGAGAAAGGAGACAGCAGGACUGGCUUUAUUUUGAAUUUUGAGUGUGUUACAAAUAUGUCUACCUCUUAGUGGAAUGGAGUAUUCUAGGGGCAGUGAGCAGAGUUCCCAGCUGGCUGGAUUGGCUGAUGGAGCAAAACUGACUGUUCCAGACAAAGUUGAAUUUCCCAAGAUUUGAAGAGAAAUUCAGAUUUUGAUAUUGGCGGAAAGAAAAUAGAUGUUGAGGCCUGAGAUCUCGUGACAUCAGCGAUGGACACUACCUUUGACACCCAGUUUUUUCAGCAAAGUAUGUGACCUGCUUUUCUGACCCCGCUGUUUGGAUCCAUCCUUUUUUUUUUUU